rnacentral:lncRNA from 1 species
UUUGAUUACGAUGAAUUGGACCAGAACGUAGCCAAGAAUUUGGCUGGAGAUAUCAUCGGAAGCAGGAUCGAGAGUAUUGAUGUGAAUCCUACACCUUUUCAGCCUUAUGCUGAGGUGUUUGGACUGCAGAGGUUCAGAGAAUGUGAGCUCAUUCAUGGAAGGUGGGCUAUGUUGGCUACUCUUGGAGCUCUUGCUGUCGAGUCUCUCACUGGUAUCACUUGGCAAGAUGCCGGAAAGGUACUGUUUUUAGGCCUAAUUUAAGCUUUAUUAUCAUAGAUAUGGAGAUAGAUUCACAAUCCUACAUCAAUUUAAAAUUGUACAUCAAUUUGAUUUGCAUUCCUUUAAACAAAAUUGUACAAUCAAGGCCGAUCACUUGUCAAACUUACAAACUAACCAAAUGUACUCAGUAUAUCCCGCUCUAAGAACUAUGUAAGGAGGGUAAGAGGUUUAACACUAGUAGAUGGACUUUAAAAUAUCAUGAGUCUUUUGCGUAUUACAAAUAGAAAUGACGGUAUAGGUGGAAAUUAGAAACAUGGAGAACAGAUUUGGACUAUUGAUCUGACAUGAAAAUUUGCAGGUAGAGCUAAUUGAGGGAUCAUCGUACCUUGGCCAACCACUCCCAUUCUCCAUUACUUCACUGAUAUGGAUCGAAGUUCUUGUUGUUGGAUACAUUGAGUUCCAAAGAAAUGCAGAGCUUGACCCUGAGAAGAGACUCUACCCUGGUGGCAGUUUCUUCGACCCACUUGGCCUGGCAGCUGACCCCGAGAAGAAGGCCACUCUUCAACUAGCCGAGAUCAAGCAUGCCCGUCUUGCCAUGGUUGGGUUUUUGGGAUUUGCUGUCCAAGCUGCUGCCACCGGAAAAGGUCCCCUUAACAACUGGGCUACACAUUUGAGUGAUCCCCUCCACACUACCAUUAUUGACACCUUUUCCUCAUCCUGAGCUUUUCUUAUUACAUUUCAUUUCCAUUAUAUAUAAUCAUCUCCUUAUGGCUGAUAACUUUUUCCAUGUAUGGGG